rnacentral:rRNA from 1 species
UCAUCGGCCUCAGAUUGGUAGGACUACCCGCUGAACUUAAGCUUAUCA